GGCUGUCAUCUUUCGGGGUGGUGGUUAGUGGCGAACGGGUGAGUAACACGUGAGUAACCUGCCCUCGGCUUCGGGAUAAGCUUGGGAAACUGGGUCUAAUACCGGAUAUUCACAUUCUGUCUGCAUGGUGGGGUGUGGAAAGGGUUUCUGGCUGGGGAUGGGCUCGCGGCCUAUCAGCUUGUUGGUGGGGUGAUGGCCUACCAAGGCGGUGACGGGUAGCCGGCCUGAGAGGGCGACCGGCCACACUGGGACUGAGACACGGCCCAGACUCCUACGGGAGGCAGCAGUGGGGAAUAUUGCGCAAUGGGCGGAAGCCUGACGCAGCGACGCCGCGUGGGGGAUGACGGCCUUCGGGUUGUAAACCUCUUUCAGCCCCGACGAAGCGGGAGUGACGGUAGGGGUAGAAGAAGCGCCGGCCAACUACGUGCCAGCAGCCGCGGUAAUACAUAGGGCGCAAGCGUUGUCCGGAUUUAUUGGGCGUAAAGAGCUCGUAGGCGGUUUGUCGCGUCUUCCGUGAAAACUGGGGGCUUAACUUCCAGCUUGCGGUGGAUACGGGCUGACUGGAGUGCGGCANGGGAGACUGGAAUUCCUGGUGUAGCGGUGAA
rnacentral:rRNA from 1 species